rnacentral:rRNA from 1 species
AGAACGAACGCUGGCGGCAGGCCUAACACAUGCAAGUCGAACGCCGUAGCAAUACGGAGUGGCAGACGGGUGAGUAACGCGUGGGAACAUACCCUUCGGUUCGGAAUAACUCAGGGAAACUUGAGCUAAUACCGGAUACGUCCGAGGUUUUAAUCGACCUUGGAGAAAGAUUUAUCGCCGGAGGAUUGGCCCGCGUCUGAUUAGCUUGUUGGUGAGGUAAUGGCUCACCAAGGCGACGAUCAGUAGCUGGUCUGAGAGGAUGAUCAGCCACAUUGGGACUGAGACACGGCCCAAACUCCUACGGGAGGCAGCAGUGGGGAAUAUUGGACAAUGGGCGAAAGCCUGAUCCAGCCAUGCCGCGUGAGUGAUGAAGGCCUUAGGGUUGUAAAGCUCUUUUACCGGGAAGAUAAUGACGGUACCGGGAGAAUACGCCCGGCUAACUUCGUGCCAGCAGCCGC